rnacentral:rRNA from 2 species
GGUUGACCUCGGAUCAGGUAGGAAUACCCGCUGAACUUAAGCAUAUCAAUAAG